UACGAAGGGGGCUAGCGUUGCUCGGAAUCACUGGGCGUAAAGCGCACGUAGGCGGGUCGUUAAGUCGGGGGUGAAAUCCUGGAGCUCAACUCCAGAACUGCCUUCGAUACUGGCGAUCUUGAGUCUGGGAGAGGUGAGUGGAACUCCGAGUGUAGAGGUGAAAUUCGUAGAUAUUCGGAAGAACACCGGUGGCGAAGGCGGCUCACUGGCUCAUUUCUGACGCUCAGGCGCGACAGCGUGGGGAUCAAACAGG
rnacentral:rRNA from 1 species